UCCGAGUCAGAUAUGGGUUUGGAUCUGGGUCCAAAAUUAGACCCAGAACGUCCUCUUUGGGUCCAAAUCUUGGAUCCGAACACUAUUCAAGUCUGGGUUCAGGUCCAGGUCCUAUCCCACAUUUUAUUUUGGGUCCUAAUUUAUGAAAUAUAUUUAACUACAUAAAAAUUUUAAUUUUUGGGUCAAGUCCAAUUAGAUGACUUGGAUCCGAUCCCAUCCGUUGCCACCCCUUGUUAGUUCAACAAUACCUUGGCCAGUGUGAACAAUGAACCCUGCCUUUGAGGCCUUUGAAAUGGAGUCAAUGGUGUCCAUAUGACUUUUGAGUUUGGAGGGUUAGUUUGUAACAACUUAGAUUAAGCUUCCACCAUUUUUUUGUAGUGCUUGAUCAGGUUUUACCAUUUUCUUAUGCCAUUGGUGGCCUUUCCAUUUAGCCUUUUCUAGAGCUCCAAACUUCUUGGUGUUUGGUGAGGUAUUUGUAUGCAUUUCUUGGAGACACUCAAAAUUUCAUCCCAUUUGAGACUGUUUUGAGGGGUCUAUUGUGGGUAUUCACUCUGUUUGGCAGCUCUACUUACAUCAGAUAUCGACUAUCUACAUAGUUGAUAACCUUGUUGUGUAUAUGAUGGGCCACAUGAUGUCCAACUCUCCUUGUAAUCGCUGCCUUUUGAGGCAUGUUGGGACAUAGAAGAACAGAGGAAAAGCUUGAUGCACGGAAUAAAAAUGAUGUUUUUUUUUUUACCCUUACUUUUGUUGGUUUCAAAGACUAAAAAAUGAGUGCCAAGGGCCUGGAACAGAAGACUGGGGAAUUUUUAAGGUCCCUAGGCAAAAUGACCCACAAUGUGUCGUCAGGGACUUUUCCAAGGACUAACAAUCCUAGCCCCUCCCCCCCCCCCACACCCCACCCCACCCCACCCCACCCAGAUCUGUGAUACAAGCCUGAGGAACCUGAUGACACAAUAUGUGUCAUUCAAAGCCCUUUACUUUGUGAUGGCUAAAACUGAUGAGCUUGUAGGGUUUCUAAGAAGAGGUGCCAUCUCCUGGAGUCUUUUUCUAGGAUCACCUAUAUUAACCGGUGACCCAUGAAAAAGCAUUUCUCUAGUCAGAAAACAUAGAGAAUUUAAUGCUUCCCAAAGGCGAUAAUGCCAAUCAACUAAUGUGUUACAUGUCUAUUAACAAUAAAAGGACUAAUGGAUAAGGAGAGGACCUUUCUAUCAGGGGAAAAUUUUCUACGUUCUCCCUAUAAUAUAGAAGUUCUAUGUUCCCCCUACCAUCCAGCCUUCCAUUUUUUAUCAAGAGAGUCACCCACCUCUCGAUCUUAGAUCCGACAUCUUAAAAUAUUUUAUUUUUAGUCUUUUUAAUAUAAUUUUUUUAAUAUGAAAUUUGGUACGUGCCAUCUUCUCAUUAGGGCGCAUCUAUAAAAAAUAUUAACAAUAAUUUUUCGAUAAAAAAUAAUGACAAAAAUACCCCUUGAAAUUUUCAGGGGUAUUUUAGUUAUUUUAUUUUAUUGAAAAUAAUUUUUUUAUAUUUUUCGUUAGUGCGAGUUUUAAUAUAGAAAUGGAUGUACAAAAUUUGGUGUCAAAACAGUUUAUAGGAAAAAAAAUUAAAAAUAAACAGUGUAAAGACGUGAAAUUGUGAUUGAGGCAAUCUUAACCCUCCAUUAAAAAAUAGACGAUUGGAUAAGGGAACAUAGAACUUCUAUAUUUUAAGAGGAACAAUGAAAGCUUUCCCUUCUAUGAAAUGGGAAAAUACUUUACGUUGUUUUGCUAAAUCUAGUUUUCUGGUAAGUGUUUAAAAUCGAGCAUGUUCGUCGAUCAAUUCAAGCUAAUCUAACAAAACCGAAGUGCCCAAGAUUUUAUUCUGUUUUGAUGGUUGGGAUUAGAAUCAACUCAUCUAAAAGACCAUGUAUGGGGCUGAUGUUUGCCCAGUACCGGAAGGUCAAAGAAGUUGGUGACCUGAUGACACAAGAGCAGGAGCCGACGACCGAAGGCCCGGUGAAUGGCGGGUGUAAAUAUAAUGGUCCCAAGGUAGCGAAAUUCCUUGUCUGGUAAGUUGUGACCCACACUAAAGGCGAACGAUCUAGGCACUGUCUCAGAGAGAGGCUCGGUUAAAUAGACAAGUCUGUGAAGAUGCGGACUACCUGCACUUGGCACUUAGAUAGAAAGAGCCUAUGAAGCUUUACUAUUACCUGUGAUUGGCUUUGGUCCUUUCACGUACAACUUAGGUGGAGGGCGAAUAAGGCCUCCUUUUGAGGGGGCCGAGCCAUCCGUGAGAUACCACUUUGGAAGAAUUAGAAUUCCAACCUUGAGUUAGGCCCUACUGGCCAAUAGACAGUUUCCGGUAGGCAGUUUCUAUGGGACAUAGGCCUCCCAAAAUGUAACAGAGGCCUGCAAAGGUUUCCUCGAGCUGGACAGAUGUUGGCCAUUGAGUGCAAAGGAAGAAAGGAAGCUUGACUGCAAGACCCACCCGUCGAGCAAGGACGAAAGUCGGCCUUAAUGAUCCGACGAUGCCGAGUGGAAGUGUCGUCGCUCAACGCAUAAAAGUUACUCUAAGGAUAACAUGUUAAUCUCCCCAAGAGUUCACAUCGACAGGAAGGUUUGGCGUCUCAAUGUCGGCUUUUCGCCACCUAGGGCGGUAGUACAUUCCAUAGGUUGGGUUGUUCGCCCAUUAAAACGGCAUGUGAGCUGGUUUCAGAAUGGCAUGUGACAGCCUAGUCCAUAUCCGGUGUGGUUGUUAGAGCAUUGAAAUAACCUUUCCCUAGUACAAUGGACCGAGAAGAGCAUUGGUGUACCAAUUAGCAUGCCCACAAUAAAUGUUGGGUAGGCAGGUACAGAGUGGAUAACUCUCGAAAGCAUCUAAGCCCACCCCAAGAUGAGUGUUAUUCUUCCUUCCCCAAGCCUCUGGUUACAUGGAUGAGACAAUGACGGGUCCAUCUCGUGUUUGUGUCUAGGAAACAUAGCUGAAAAUGGUUGAAAUC
rnacentral:rRNA from 1 species